UGGCUCAUUAUAUAAGUUAUCGUUUAUUUGAUAGUACCUUACUACUUGGAUAACCGUGGUAAUUCUAGAGCUAAUACAUGCUAAAAAUCCCGACUUCGGAAGGGAUGUAUUUAUUAGAUUAAAAACCAAUGCCCUCUGGGCUCUCUGGUGAUUCAUGAUAACUUCUCGAAUCGCAUGGCCUUGCGCCGGCGAUGGUUCAUUCAAAUUUCUUCCCUAUCAACUUUCGAUGUUUGGGUAGUGGCCAAACAUGGUUGCAACGGGUAACGGAGGGUUAGGGCUCGACCCCGGAGAAGGAGCCUGAGAAACGGCUACUACAUCCAAGGAAGGCAGCAGGCGCGCAAAUUACCCAAUCCCGACACGGGGAGGUAGUGACAAUAAAUACUGAUACAGGGCUCUUUUGGGUCUUGUAAUUGGAAUGAGUACAAUUUAAAUCCCUUAACGAGGAACAAUUGGAGGGCAAGUCUGGUGCCAGCAGCCGCGGUAAUUCCAGCUCCAAUAGCGUAUAUUAAAGUUGUUGUGGUUAAAAAGCUCGUAGUUGAACCUUGGGCCUGGCUGGCCGGUCCGCCUCACCGCGUGUACUGGUCCGGCCGGGCCUUUCCCUCUGUGGAACCCCAUGCCCUUCACUGGGUGUGGCGGGGAAACAGGACUUUUACUUUGAAAAAAUUAGAGUGCUCCAGGCAGGCCUAUGCUCGAAUACAUUAGCAUGGAAUAAUGAAAUAGG
rnacentral:rRNA from 1 species